UGGGGUGCAGCUCAGUGGCAGAGCAUUUACCUAGCACGUGUGAAGCCCUGGGUUCCAUCCCCAGCACUACAA
rnacentral:tRNA from 1 species